rnacentral:siRNA from 1 species
CGUCGGCUGUCAGCGGACUGC